CAGUCGCCGCGGUAAUACAGAGGGUGCGAGCGUUAAUCGGAUUUACUGGGCGUAAAGCGUGCGUAGGUGGUGGUUUAAGUCCGUUGUGAAAGCCCUGGGCUCAACCUGGGAAUUGCAGUGGAUACUGGGUCACUAGAGUGUGGUAGAGGAUAGUGGAAUUUCCGGUGUAGCAGUGAAAUGCGUAGAGAUCGGAAGGAACAUCUGUGGCGAAGGCGACUAUCUGGGCCAACACUGACACUGAGGCACGAAAGCGUGGGGAGCAAACAGGAUUAGAUACCCCAGUAGUCCCUGUCUCUUAUAU
rnacentral:rRNA from 1 species